UUGCUUGUGCUAGCUCACUGG
rnacentral:misc_RNA from 1 species